UGCUGUUCAAAGGGAAAUCCAUUGAAAUGCCAACACAAAGAUCAGGGGUUAAGGUCCCGGUUCUGCUCCACUCACAGAUGCUGGAAGUUGCUUAUUUCAGGAGAUUUUGGCCCUUCAAGAGUAACAGUAUCACAAGAAAAUCUCUCAGCCUCCUAGGAACCAAAAGACCCAACUCAUCUGUUUUGUAUUGGUUAUCAAUAACAAAAUUUGGCUCUCUCCUGGAAAUGGCAAUGAAUGGUUUGUCUGCAUUUACUGAAGUAGUGAACAAAAUCACUAAUAGCAAAAGCACAACCUUUGUCUUCCUCUUUCUCUCCAGAAUUUUAGGAUGGAUACUACUGGUCUUGCAUCAUGCCUUUCUGCCUAAAUCCUCCCAUAAAGGUGUUGUUCACACCACAGCCCAUGGCAUUUCUGCCUCAGGAUGAGCUGUCUUUUUGGGGAAUGGGGAACAUCAACCUUGCUUGUCUCAGAAGAGUAUUGUGAUGAACUAAAAAUACACCAAUUUGUGCAAGGAAGGCAACAUUUAAAAAUAGUUAGACCAACACUGAAUUAUACUUGCAAAAAGCUUCAGUUCUCAGGUAUUUCAGGAAAAAGAGAUGUCAUCUUCUGCUUUAUACACAGAUGAACCUUGAGUAUUUGUUUUGUGGAAGUCAAGAAACCAGCCACAGAAUAGAAGAAACCAAAGUGAUCUACACUUAUAGGGCACCAAACUUUUGUGAUUCCAUAACUCAGCCUUCCAGCUAUUACAGAAAAAAUAAAUAACCCCUGUGCAAACAAGCCCACCCCAGGCCAGCUCUGGGUGUGAGGAGACCAUCAGACUGGCUCCAG